GCUUACGGCCAUACCACCCGUGAACGCGCCCGGAUCUCGUCCGAUCUCGGAAGCUAAGCAGGGUCGGCCUGGUUAGUACUUGGAUGGGAGACCGCCUAGGGAACUACCAGGUGCUGUAAGCC
rnacentral:rRNA from 15 species